rnacentral:rRNA from 1 species
AACGAACGCUGGCGGCAGGCUUAACACAUGCAAGUCGAGCGCCCCGCAAGGGGAGCGGCAGACGGGUGAGUAACGCGUGGGAACGUACCCUUUGCUACGGAAUAGCUCCGGGAAACUGGAAUUAAUACCGUAUGUGCCCUACGGGGGAAAGAUUUAUCGGCAAAGGAUCGGCCCGCGUUGGAUUAGCUAGUUGGUGGGGUAAUGGCCUACCAAGGCGACGAUCCAUAGCUGGUCUGAGAGGAUGAUCAGCCACAUUGGGACUGAGACACGGCCCAAGCUCCUACGGGAGGCAGCAGUGGGGAAUAUUGGACAGUGGGCGCAAGCCUGAUCCAGCCAUGCCGCGUGAGUGAUGAAGGCCUUAGGGAUGUAAAGCUCUUUCACCGGAGAAGAUAAUGACGGUAUCCGGAGAAGAAGCCCCGGCUAACUUCGUGCCAGCCGCCGCCGUAACAC